rnacentral:rRNA from 1 species
AUUGAUUUUAUGCUUGCAUAAAUGAUUUUUGGAUUCGGAGCGAGUGGCGAACUGGUGAGUAACACGUGGGUAACCUGCCCCGAAGCGGGGGAUAACAUUUGGAAACAAGUGCUAAUACCGCAUAAUUAGUUGGAACCGCAUGGUUCCAACUUGAAAGAUGGCUCUGCUAUCACUUUGGGAUGGACCCGCGCCGUAUUAGUUAGUUGGUGAGAUAAAAGCCCACCAAGACGAUGAUACGUAGCCGACCUGAGAGGGUAAUCGGCCACAUUGGGACUGAGACACGGCCCAGACUCCUACGGGAGGCAGCAGUAGGGAAUCUUCCACAAUGGACGAAAGUCUGAUGGAGCAACGCCGCGUGAGUGAUGAAGGUUUUCGGAUCGUAAAACUCUGUUGUUAAAGAAGAACAAGUGUUAGAGUAACUGUUAACACUUUGACGGUAUUUAACCAGAAAGCCACGGCUAACUACGUGCCAGCAGCCGCGGUAAUACGUAGGUGGCAAGCGUUGUCCGGAUUUAUUGGGCGUAAAGCGAGCGCAGGCGGUUUUGUAAGUCUGCUGUGAAAGCCCUCAGCUCAACUGAGGAAGUGCAGUGGAAACUACAAAACUUGAGUACAGAAGAGGAAAGUGGAACUCCAUGUGUAGCGGUGAAAUGCGUAGAUAUAUGGAAGAACACCAGUGGCGAAGGCGGCUUUCUGGUCUGUUACUGACGCUGAGGCUCGAAAGCAUGGGUAGCGAACAGGAUUAGAUACCCUGGUAGUCCAUGCCGUAAACGAUGAAUACUAGGUGUUGGAGGGUUUCCGCCCUUCAGUGCCGCAGCUAACGCAUUAAGUAUUCCGCCUGGGGAGUACGACCGCAAGGUUGAAACUCAAAGGAAUUGACGGGGGCCCGCACAAGUGGUGGAGCACGUGGUUUAAUUCGAUGCUACGCGAAGAACCUUACCAGCUCUUGACAUCUUCUGCCAACCCAAGAGAUUGGGCGUUCCCUUCGGGGACAGAAUGACAGGUGGUGCAUGGUUGUCGUCAGCUCGUGUCGUGAGAUGUUGGGUUAAGUCCCGCAACGAGCGCAACCCUUAUUAUUAGUUGCCAGCAUUUAGUUGGGCACUCUAGUGAGACUGCCGGUGAUAAA